AUGAGGAGCCCCGCCAGCCGGCCGCGAGGCCCCAUUGGCUGAGGCAACGUUCUAAAUUCCACGAGGGCACGCCCACCUCCGCGCGCGGUACGCGCUGUUGUAGUUUCCACUUCACCGAAAAAAAUCUGCCUGGCGACUGAGCAUGCCCAGUUCAACUAGUAGCCUCCAGGCCACACAAUCCUGAAGUUUCAUUGUUUCGCUGCUCUCUCUUUGAGAUUGUAAGAAUAAGAACAGUGUGUGUCUUCAUAGGAAGGAAAAAGAGUAAGAAUGAAUACGUAAACUUUAUAAUGUAAAUAUAUACACAGCAGGUACCUUAUUCAUUUCCUACCCAUAAAGGCUUUUAAUGAAUGUUACAUGGUGGGAAUCUGUAAAGCGUGGGAAGGUACUCUGUACUGGAAGAGCGUGGCAACUUCUAAAGGCCUCAGUUUCCCCCCCUAGAUAUAUAGUGACAACAGUCCCUAAAAUCACUUAGCUCUAAUUUUCUGAAAUCUGUGAUUAUAAAUCACUCACUAAUUCAGCUAACUUCAAACUAGAUGUGAAGACGAAUAGGACAUGUUUGUUACGGAAAUUAGGAAAAGAAAGAACAAGGCAAAAACUGAUUAUUUUAUAUUUGAGACAUAUAUUUGAAUGACACCCGUCAUGUUACACUUUAUGCGUAAUAUUUCUCAAAGUUCUGCAAGGCAUAAAAUGAGCAUUGCAAAAAUAUUUCUGAAUUCAUUUUAUGAGACCAGAUUUACUCUGAUACCAAAACCAGUGAAAGACUUCAAAAGAGAGUUACAGACCAAUAUCACUCAUAAACAUAGACACAAAAGUCGUGAACAAAAUUUUAGUAAAUGAAACUCAACAACAUUUAAAGGGACAAUACAUCAUGACCUGUGGGGCUUAUCUUGGGAAUGCAAAGCUGCUUUUUUAAUAUCUGAGAAUCAAUCAAUGUAAUUGGCAGGAUUAAUAGAAUAAAGGGGGAAAAACAAUCCUUUCAGCAGAUGCAGGAAAAGCGCUAGUGAAUGGGUAAGCAAAUUGUGAUGAGCACAUGCAGUGGAAUACUAUUCAGCAAUAAAAAACAAUAAAAAAUUUUCCUACAUGGAUGAAUAUCAAAAACAAAGUGCUGUACGAAAGAAGUCAAAUACAAAAGACCACACUGAAUGAUUGCAUUCAUAUGAAAUUAUAGAAAAAGCAAAAUUGGGCAAAGUUAGUUUCAGAAUCAUCUUAGCAGGCAAAGCUCACAUCAUAGGAAAAUGUGUUGAAGCCUUACAUUACAAAUAUGGCCAAAUCCACUUUGGUAACACAGAGGCUGCAAAUAUGUAUUAAAAAUAUCAUGUAUUAAAUAUGUAUUAAAAAAGCAAUGAAGUUUAAUAUUUCACUUUUUCUUUAGUAAUUUUCAGAAUACAUUAAUUGAUCUAGUACUCUCCAGAGGUGGUUGAUUACUUUCUUUUUUGGAACAUCUUUAUGAACUCAUGGAUUUUUACAUAUUUGGUGUGCAUCAGUGUAUUGCUAUCAUUAUUAUUACCUUUUUAAUGCUCCUAUUACCACAUCUUUAGCCAAUGCAUACCCUUUCAAAUUAGUGCUUGUGUCCUUUUGACAUGAUCUUAAUCAUUUUUGAUAGAUUCCCUGUUCUUGGGCAUUCAGUGAAUGACAAUAGUAUACUGAAACGAAUUAAGAUAAAAACCAAUUGCUUAGAGCUAGAUAAAAAUUUACAAGUUAAUAAUUUUAUCAUUAAAAUAAUAUUUAUAAUGAAGAUGUCUUUCAAGAUAUUAAUUUGCCAAAUACUUGAUAGUUAAAUAAAGAAAAAGUCAGUGAAAACAUUUUUAGUAAGAUAUGUGUGAGAAGGAUACUGAGUAGCACUUGCAAUCUGGA
rnacentral:lncRNA from 1 species